rnacentral:rRNA from 1 species
UACAGAGGUCUCAAGCGUUGUUCGGAUUCAUUGGGCGUAAAGGGUGCGUAGGCGGCCGUGCAAGUCUGGCGUGAAAGCCCCGGGUUCAGCCCGGGAAGUGCGCUCGAAACUGCGCGGCUCGAGUGCCGGAGGGGAGAGUGGAAUUCCUGGUGUAGCGGUGAAAUGCGUAGAUAUCAGGAGGAAUACCGGUGGCGAAAGCGACUCUCUGGACGGCAACUGACGCUGAGGCACGAAAGCGUGGGGAGCAAACAGG